rnacentral:sRNA from 1 species
UACUGCAGAUGCCGCUAUCACCAUGGGGAUGGUUCUUCUAAAUGAAGCAGCAACUUCGAAAGGCGAUGUUGGAAAAAGACGGAUAAUUUGCCUAGUGGGAUUGGGCCUGGUGGUCUUCUUCUUCAGUUUUCUACUUUCGAUAUUUCGUUCCAAGUACCACGGCUAUCCUUAUAGGUAAUAUCUUUAUACUAACAUGAAUGUUUUUAUUUUUAACUAAUAGAGAGUUUCAGUGGUUAAUAUAUAAUUAAGGAUGAAUAUAAAGUUGCUGUGUGGUUUUUUAAAUUCAGUUAAGCAAGUUUUUGAGCACCUGCCAUGUGUUCAGCAUAGUGAAGUACACAAAGGAGAUAUAAGGCAUGGUUCUUGUUCCCUGACAGCAUAUAGUUUCUUUCUAGACAUACAUAUUUUUAUAUAACAAAUGAGGUUUAAGCUCAUUUUGAGGACUUGAAAAUUUUAUCUUCCCUUAGUUUGUCAUGAUUUCGACUUCAUUUGCAAGAUUGUUUUCUCAUAUAAUUCACUGUUCAUUGUCUAAUAAACUUUGUAUUAUCUUUUG